UAAAAUGCAUUGAGAACGAAGGCUCUAAAUACAACAAUUGCAGAGAGAGAGACGCAGCUGAAAGUCUUUUAUCGUUGGUUUAGAGUUGCCCCGUUUGAGCAGCUGAAAAGAAAGUCAGAAUCCCAUAUUCGAUCAGUACUUUCAGUCGGGAAACCGUUAUUUAAUAAAGUGAGUUGCCAAUGAUUUUGCAGCUAAUUUGGGUGGUACCGCGGAUUAAACCGUCCCUUGC
rnacentral:ncRNA from 1 species